UUCUCCCCACCCUCAUCGCCCACCCCGCUGGCUGUGGGGUCAGGAGGAACGCGAUUCCUCAGCAGAUCCAAGAGGUGGCAUUUUCUCCCCCAAACUUUUCUUUUGGCGCAGCCUGAGAGUGAAGGAAAAGGUUUUGGUUCCUUGUGACAACUCGGAGAUUGUGAGGGCUGAGCUGUCCUCUGGUGGCACUCAGCCCCAUGCCCAGCGGGCAUGUAAUGCACACUCAACGGUGGAGAUAACUGAGUGGGAGGUGACAGUCGUGUCAGAGGCUGUGAGAAGCCGUGGCUGCUCACCACCGAGAUGGAGCUAAUUAUACCGGUACCCGGGGCUGACCGUGGGCGCUGAGCAGAGGCAGAGGGGUACAGCUCUGCUGUAGGAUCAGUGGGGACCCGUGGGAGGUGGCAUUUGUCAUCGUACCUGCGGAUCAGAGCAAGGCCGGGCACCCAGCCAAGACAUCGCUGGGCUAUCUCCCUUUAUACAACCCUGAUGUAAGGUAUUAUGCCGCUCCCUUCCUUUCAGUUGAGAAAACUGAGGUUGCCAGAGGGCCAGAGAUCAUACAGCUAGUGACCAGACAAGCAAGACGUCAGACUGUGCUGGUUUGAUUCUAAAGCUUAUGGUUUAACCAUCUUGCCUCACAGAUCCUUGCAACAAUCCUGAGAAGCAGGUAUUUUGAUGUCCGUUUCACAGAUGCGCAACAGAGACUAAAUAAUGAAAUCGAUACUACUCAGAAAGCAUGAAAUUAGUGACUACCGUUUAUAUGGCACCUGACAAUCUGCAAAGCAGUUUUACAUAAGUUGUUUCCUUUGAUUGCAGAAACAGCUUGGAACUGAAGAGGCGGGUAUAAGGUUGUCAUGGUUAAGGAUUUGCCCAAGGUCAACACAGGAACCGGAAGCCGGAUCCAGCUUUCCUCACUCCGAAUCCCAUCCUCUGUCUACCACGCUGCACUGUCAGAUUCCAUUACUUGACCUUGUGAUGAUGACAAGUCCAUGGUGAGAGUCCACGAGGGUUCAAGAAACGCCUCUUGUCUAGUGUCUGAUUCCUUGAACCAUGAGCCCAACUCUGAAAAUGCAUCUGCUUCGCCACCGCCUGAAAUGAGUUUAACUGAACUGACCGAUUUGUCAGGACCAAGACUGGUUCCGUGAGACAGAACGAUUUACAAGAUCAAUUUUUAAUGCAUGGAAUUUCAAGGAAGUUUUAGAGGAGGGAACUGUAGGGGCCAAGGGCAGGCUGCCCCAAGAUGGGCCACUUUGGCAGGGACAUUAUUUUGAGUUAAAAGCAAUCGGAACCUAGCAGAUUCAGAGAAAGCUCUUUACCUCUCCAGCAACUGCCUGCUUUACCGGGAAGAGAGCUAUUAACAGAGCUUCUAUUCGCCUAAGGAACUUCUCUGCAUAAGAGGGCACCGAGCGUUUUCCGAACAUCUCCAUUCACCUUCCUGCUAAAGGCCUUUCUGCCCUUUGUAUCCUCAGACCCCUACCCCUCUCCUUAGCUCAUAUAAGUAUCAUGUUGCCUGAAUGUCCUUAGAAUUUCCAAGUCUGUGUGGAUUCCCUGUACUUACACUAUUAAGUUAGGUUUUCUCCUGGUUAAAAAAAAUGAACCUGGGGCGCCUGGGUGGCUCAGUCGGUUAAGCGUCCGAC